CCCUGUUAGGUGCGGACCCCCUGCCUGGAUGCAGCAGCCUGGGGUCCCCAACAAGGCCCCAAGCUACCAGUGGGGUUUUGGGGUGCAAUGCACCAGCCCUGACUUCCCAGCGUGACCAAGGACCUCUCUUGGAGGAGUCUCCGCGUUCCCGAAGUGUCUCCCGGCAAAGCCAGGAGUGGGGAGGGACGGGACAUGUCUUGCCUACCCCCAUCCGAUGAGGCUGGCGCCGUGGUUGGGGGCGGGGGGCAGGGGAGGUGACAGCCCCAAGCCGCAGCUACAAUAUGGGUGCACUUUCCUGCCCCAGGUUUCUGAUUUUUUCUUUUUAAUUAAGACAGUAGCUUAAAAUUCUGACUGUCCCUCCAGGGUACUGGAACACCGUGUCAGACUGAGAAAUAUCCCUGAGUCACAUUCUGGCACUCCACCCUCCAAACCCUAUGCUUCUUGGGGUCAGCUCCUUCCCCAGCAAGUCCCACUUCCCCAGGGUGACUCAGGGCUCCUCCCCCAGGCCCUCCCUGCACGUGUCCUGCUGCUGCCACACACAGGGACAUGCCUGGCCCCAGGUGCCUGGACUCGCACCCCAGGGGCCCUCAGACAGCUUGCCUUACAAGGCCGGCAGUGUGAGCAGACACAGCUGGAGGCAGGGAGAAGGUGGUUCUUUUCCUGGGCCAGCAGAAUCCCCAAGACAUGAUUGUGGUUUACAAGCAUGAAGAUAAUGUGAUGAUUUUCAGAGGAAAACAAACAAACAAAACCUGCCUAUGAGGUGUUCUUUCUUAUAGUUAACCCGGGUUGAAUGCCCAGCCAGAGAGGGCCCCGCCUCCCAGCAACCUCCCCUCUUCAUUUUUCCCUACCCCUCCCCUUUCACCCUUGACUCUGCCAAUGACUACCUGCUCUCUCCCCUGGCCACAGUCUUGUGGGGCGGGGGGUGCUGAUGGAGAGUAUGGGCCCUGGGCCGUCCUAAACAGGAGGAGCUCCAGGACUCUUCUUGUGGAGCAAGGGGAUGCCGGAGCUGCUGCAGCCAUUUUGGCACCUUGAGUAUUACCGUCCUUGGCUCCAAAGUAAAAAUCUCCACAACAUCACACAGAUGCUUUGGCUUCAAGAAGCUGUAACUUCCAGGAUGAAAAUUAAAUUAAUUGAAAAAGCAUCCUGAGUUGUACCUGGAUGCCACGGAACACGCACGUGGGUCGUAAGUCAGACCCGGAGUGCGACGCAUCACACCAGGGAACGGGCCUCUGGCUCUGCACGUGAAACCGAGGGCACUGGGCACAGACGUGCAUUACACUGUGCCUUGCCUAACGAACAGUGAACUUGUAACCUGCCUUCACUGAUCGCUUUCAUUUUUGCUACAAACAAAACAAAACAAAACAAAAC